AUUUAACCACCAUAAUAGAUUGUCUUCAACUUAUUUACACGACCCGAUAGGAAUGUUUAGGCCAACAAAAAAUGAUCCUAACACAUCAAAAUAGACAACCCCAUAGCCAUUCUAACAAAAAAUUUACUACAUCCAUAACAAGCAUUAUACUAGGAAUUUUCUUAACAAAUAGACAUAAUAAUAAAAGCAAUUCAACCCGAUCCAAAUUUUCCAGAAUAACAUUCUUUAUCACUAUUGAUCACCGUCUAUAUGAGAUCUUCAUUGGACAUUGGACAAUGUGAAUGUCAUUGCAUAUAUAACAUUAGCAAUAUAAUAAUUUGAUAAAAUACUUCUAUAAAUAACAUAUGUACUGCCAGCGAUGAAUGAAUCAAAAUCGUUUCCUAGUCUUCCACACUUGUAAGAGUGAGAACCACUUUUCUAACGCAUUGAAACAACAUUACUAAGGCAAAAUAACAAGUGUUGGUGUGUGCACUUCACAUAUACUCUUCAGCUAGCAUUUUGUUACCAUGUCGACUUGAAUGCCGUCAUUGUUGUACUGAAAUGAAAAAUGGAGCAGUUAUUAUAAUUGCAUGCAUGUUUUACAUUAUUCACAUGCUUAAACAACAUUACUAAAGUAGAAUAACAUUUACAAGUAUGUAUAAUUCUCAUACGAGUGUUGAUGCACAUUGCCUAUCGUUUUUAAAUCAUAUUGAUAUGAGUGCCAUUAUGAUUCAUUAUUUAAAUAUAAAUAUGAGCGACACAUAAGCAUAUGAGGAGGGGCAAAAGGUACAAUUUAGCUAUUCAAUGGGGUAUUUUGGGGAUUUAAAAAGUCGAGGACCCAGAAGUUUUUGAUAAACCCUUGGGUCGAGUUUGAGGAGAAAAUUCAAUGUUCUCAUUAUGGGACCUCGGUCUAGAGUAUGACCACGGCUCAGCUUGCGAGGUUAGGAUUUGUGAUUGAAUGGGCCUACCACCCGAUGAAGAUUAAAGUGAUGAUGAUGAUAGUGGUGAUGAUUUGGAUGAUCCGACGGUCACAAAUGGAACUAUAUGACUUCAAUUGGCAAAACACUCCUUUCUUCAAUGUGUGUAGAUCUCAUAGGGUUGCAUACCAUCCUAGUGGCCACUUCAAGGUCUAUGUGAGACUGAAACCCUAGACCCCUGAACUAAAGGCACUAUAUGGUCUUAUUUAAAUUCUUAUUUCAAACUGAUUAUCAUUGCUGUAAUCGUGAGAAAUAGCAUAUAGAAACACAAUCUUUCAUAAAUUAUAGGAAAAAGAAAAGUUAUAUCGAAAAAAUUAAGAAUAACUACUUUAAAGUUAAAUCAAUAAAAAGCAUUAUCAGGCUAUCAACAUGCGAUACUUUUGGCAACAACUAUUAGAGAAAUAUACAGCAAAACCUCGAUUAAUAAAUAUUCGAUAAAUUAAUAAUCUCACUCAUAUAAUAAAAUUCUUCCUUCCCAACUUGGGUCAGUGUACUAAACCCUUGUUUGAUUCUUAUUAUUAUUUUUUUAAAAAAUAUAUUUCCCCCCCUUUUUUUUUCCAACUACACAUUCUUUAAUAAAUAAUAUUACACGCAAAUUCAAAAUUUUUUCUUAUUUUUUACUCAGACAUUCUCUAUCAGAAUACUUUUCCAAAAUGCAUUAUUUACCAAAAAAAUAAAAAUAAAUAAAUAAAUAAAAAGUCUCUAACGUGCUUUAAAAAAAUUAUAUAUAUAAUUUUUUUAUUUUUGAGAUCCUUUAAGGUACAAUGAAUGUAUAAAAUAAUGCGUGUUUGGACGACCGCCACCGGUGAAGGUAAUUUUGCAUUGAAUAUAGCUCAAUUGGACCUAAAAUAACGUAUUAUAACAAUAUUAUGUAUGGGAAGAGUUCAUAAAUCAAGUGUUGACUAUGUUUAAUUCAAAAUUCAGGUUAAGGGCAAAAAUCAGGUUUUAGCUAAUUAACUAAAAAUAUUUAUUAAAUAAUGAUAAUAAAGCCACUGUUAUACCAUUCAUGGUCACAUAUUCACAAUUAUAGGUCAUAGAUUUUAUAUAUCGGUCACAUAUCAUCAAAUUAAUUCGUUACAGAUUUUCUCGAGGUCAAAAAUCACAAUUUUGAUAAGUCACAGAUUAUGUCAAGAUUACAGAUCAAAAAAUUAUAGGUCAUAUAUCCAAAAAAUUAUAGUCACAAGUCACAUAUUUUCAAAUUUAAUUGUCACAUAUUACUUUUUUUAGUCACAGAUGAUUGAAUUUUAAAGUCACAGGUCAAAUAGUCAAUCACCACCAACUCCACUGUCACCACCGUCACUUAUAACCACGCUCACCCCGUUGCCACCGCCACCGCCACCACCAACACCAACAUCAACAAAAUUGACGCAACCAGAUCCACCGUCGCCACCAAACACACCAAAAAAUUGUGUUUGUAUAUAAGUCAUACAAACAAUCCGAUAAUGCGUUGAGAAUGUGACCGCGGCAUAUCAACUCGUCUUCUUGGCGCUUUUGUCUUUCAUUUCUCACCGCUUCGGUCUCUCCUUUUGUUGGUUCCGGUAGUGGCGCCAAUUUCGGAUCGAGGAUGUAGAAGAUCUUUAGUACAGUAAGAAGAAACUUUAAUUUAUCUUUCCAUCGAGUAUAGUUUGUUCUGUCGAACCGAUCUAACUACACCAAGUCUUGAUUUAUGAGUUUGAUUGUCGCCAACGUUGUCUCACUUUUCAUUGCACAAAUAUUGUUUGAGAUUGUUGGAGAAUUUUACCGGGUUGAAAUAGAAGUCACAAAACAUGAACCGGCAAUGACAAGAACUAGACAAUGACGAAUUUGUAUUAAUGAAUGGCUUGAACACAAGAUCGUUGUCCUCAAACGAUAUUUGACACUUCUCCUAUGAAUUUGAGAUGCUUCGAAGGUUGUUGACAAAUGAUUUGUAGGAUUAUAACAAGCCUUGUAAGAAUUGAAACACCAAAACACAAUUGCAAAUCCUAGAGAACUUGAAGAACACAAGGGAUGAAUAUGAAUAUGAUUUUUAAAAGACUUUGAUUUUUGAUUUUGGAAGUAAUAUGAAACAUUGAUGUUUUUGUGAUGUUUUUACCUUCAACAUGGAUCCAAUAUAUAUAUAGGCAUACACCACAUUCACGAAAUGGUACCAAACUAUAAGCCUAAAGUCACCAAAUUUAAAUUUACAGCGGGAGAAAGCAACUUCCAACGACCAAAAAAUUAUAUCAUGUGACCGCAUGGUACAAAACCAUUAACAUGCGGUCGCAUGGUUCACCCAAGGUCUCGACAUAUGGCCAUGCGACUGCAUGGCGACCAAAUUUUUUUUUUUUUUUUAAUUGUUGCUGGUUUUAAACAACAUAAUCACAGCAACAAUAUGUUAAUUAGAACUAAACCGAGAGCCAUCACUAAAAUAUCUUAAAAGCAAAAUUUAGAGAAUAAAAAUAAUCAUACGUCUAUCAGUUUUUUACUGCUGCUUCAAUUUGGUGAAAAUGAUCCUCACUGAAUCGAAGAUGUCCGUAAAAUGCAUCAUAAUAUAAACCCUAUAAAUUAUACAUCCAAUCGAACAUAAGUUGGUUAUGAGUUAACAUGACAAAUGAAGAAAAAUGUUGGCCAACUAAAUAAUAUAAGCUACUGAAAUCAAAUUUUCAAUUAAUCUGAAUCCUUUAAAAGAAGUCACUCAUCCAAUAAAGAAUAUCCUAAAGUUCCAUUUGCAAAGUAAAGAAGCUAGAUUGGGAGAGAUCUAUUCCAAAUUGAAAGGCGGAUGUGGGUAUGGUCGGCUAGCCAGCGAGUAAACUUUUAUAGGUUCUGGGCAGUGGAUUGCAAAUUACAGUUGAACGUGGAUACAUAGCCAUGUUAAAGAAAAAAAAUAAUGAUUUACAUUACCGCUUUGAAGACUCUAAACCUUAUUUAUUGGAAUCAAUUGAGCUUGUGCAUAAUUAAGUGGAGAAUAAUUUAUAGUAAGAAAAGGCAACAGAAGUAUAAAGAUAACAACAUACCUAAACUAAAACUACAGAAAAAAAGAAAAAGAAAUACACAGUAGAGCAAAGAUUGAGAAAAAAAUUGAGCUUCUUAACUAGAUAAAGAUAAAAUGUUGAAAGCCAAAAGUACAAAUGCCAACGGGAGUAUAAGACAUCCCAACUGAGCCAAAAAAUCUCCGAAAAUACUGACAAGAACCAAUUGUACUCCUUGUGAAACAUUAGAAGCAGAAAUCGAGCAGAGAAACACACAUUGAGCAAAAAUAAAAGCUUCUGAAGUAAAUCAAGGUGAAUGAAGAAUAACCCAACAAAAUUUUCGCAUAUCAAACAAAAAGAAGAUACAAGGCCUUAAAUGAAACUGAAGAAACAGACAAAGAAAUCCACAAAGAAGGAAAAAUGUAGCAAAAUUUGAAUUUUCUUAGCUAGGUCGAGCUAAUCUAAAGAAGAAUCAAUUGAAAAUAUGAACAACGGUACUGUAAAAUCGAGACACAAAACUGGAAUAGACUCGAACAGAACAAAAAUCGACGAAAAAGAAAACAUUUAGCUUCUGAAGUAGAUCAAAGUCACUCAAAAGUAAUCGAAUAGAUUUUUCACAUAUCAGACAGCAAAGAAGAAAAAUAAUUUAAGUAAAACUGAACAAACGAAGAAAAAAUCCACAAAAAGUGCAAAACUGUAACAAAAUUCGAAGUUUCUCUAGUGAAUCCAGCUAAAUAAGGAAAAAGCAGAGAAAAACAAGAGGAGGACGUACUAUAGAACGAGAAACAAAGCCGGAGAGAGAGUUAACACGAGGAAAUGAUUAUGAAAGUGUCUGGAGAAAGAGAGUAGAUGAUUUCUAUUACGUGAUAUUUUUAUCAUCAAUACGGCGUCGUUUCCACAAUAGACACGAGCAAUCGGAGACCAGAUACUGAGCAAUAGCCUAACUGGUUCCAGUGUGAAAUGAAGGGCAGAAAAAUGAAUAGUAAUUAUAGCAUUCCCUC
rnacentral:lncRNA from 1 species